rnacentral:rRNA from 1 species
GACAGAGGUGCCGAGCGUUAGGCGGAAUCACUGGGCUUAAAGCGUGUGUAGGCGGACGGGUAAGUACCUUGUGAAAUCCCACGGCUCAACCGUGGAACUGCUGGGUAUACUGCCUGUCUUGAGUCAUCUAGGGGCGAGCGGAACAAAUGGUGGAGCGGCGAAAUGCGUAGAUAUCAUUUGGAACGCCAAUGGUGAAAACAGCUCGCUGGGGAUGUACUGACGCUGAGACACGAAAGCCAGGGGAGCAAACGGG